rnacentral:lncRNA from 1 species
UGUGAUAGUGUUAUUUCCACACUUUUUAUGCAUAGCUCUCAUGUGUGUUAUUAAAUUUUAAUUUUAAUUCAAAAUCAAUGAUAAGAUGAAAAAUGUGCAUAACAAAUGUAGAGAGACAUGCAUGCUACUUCUGUAAGAGACUAAGAGUCGGCCGCCGUGGACUCCCACCAGAGGCACCGGGAGUGCAUGAGCUCAGCCAAUGAAUGAAACUCCACGUGAUCAAAUUGUGAAACUGCGUGCGCGGCAAUAAUUAACCAUGGUUUUAGUCAAAUGCUUAUCAAUACCCACAGUCCCUCCUCAUUUUUAGUGCAGUGGCACUCAGUGCACCGAGUCGUCUCACAGGAAUAUUGCAGGAGUUUUCAAGAGAGAGAGAUGGCUGAGGCAGACAUGGGUAGCAAAGAAAGCAGAUGGAGUCUUCAAGGAAAGACAGCUCUUGUCACGGGCGGAACAAAAGGAAUAGGGUUAGCUCUCUUUGCCUUCUCUUGCUAUCUUCAAAGUAAUUUGUCAUAGAGAUCUAUAAAAGUCAUCAAUCCAUCAUUCACAUUCAUAAAAUGUUAGCUUCUCUCGCUGUCGCUUGCCCUCUUUGUUUUCUUGGUCAACAAAUCGUCUUCGUCUUUCAUGGGAGCCAUUGUGAUCUCUCUCUCUCUCUCUUUCUCACCCAUCAUCGUUGUCUUCCAUGGAGCCACAGUCACCGCAAGCCAAUCGUCUUCCAUGAGAGCUAUCGUCAUCUCUCUCCUAUCGUCAGAUCACGGUGGUAGAUGCCCUAACUAUGGUAGAAAUCAACAAUUGCGCAAUAAGAACUUCUCUCUGUUUUUUUCUUUUCUUUUCUUUUUUUUCUUAAUACAAUGGAUCCAAAUUCAUCCGCACCAAGGGGUCUCAAGGCGAGCUAAUUACACUAACAACGACAUCAGUUCAGAUAUUAGCCUAUAAGAGCAUUUUCAACCUCUUAUCUAAAGCUUUUAUGAGCCAAAACUCAACCCCAACAUAUUAUCUAUUGGAAUAUACAUAAAAUAUUAUAUAUUUUUCGUUUAUUUCAUAUUUGUUGAUAUUGUAAUAUUCUCUAUUUAUGAAUUGAUUAAGAUUUAAUUACCAUACUUGUAUUUACUCUAUACCCUAUAAAUAAGAACCUUGUAUUAUAGACAAAAAAAUGAAUGAACACAAUGUAAUCCUAAGUGCCAUUUAAAGUGAUGAACGUAGUGUUCAUCACGGAACCAUACGUAAUCUUUGUGUAUCUUUCUCAGUCGUUAUUUUGUGUCAAAUUUUCUGAUGAAUUUUAGUUGGUAUAGAUUUAGGAUUGCUAGCUUCGUUCUUAACCUUCAUGAGUGCCUCAUGUAAUUAACUCUACGAUAAAAUUUUUCAUUAAAUUAGAGGUAUACUUUUCCAACAUAUCCACACUGGACCGGGAUCCUCGAUCUCCAUUUCAACUAGGUCCAUGCUUCCUCUAUAUUUUCCUAUUUUAUUUUUUCGUAUAUUCUAACAUUAACCAUCCAGUUAUUUAAACCAUAAUUUUGCUACAGUGAAAAGCAAAAGAUAAAUUAGAGAAGAGCUGCACACCGUUUUUUGGUUUUAGUCCUAAUUCUAGUUUUUAAUCUAUUUUUUAUAAUCUUUUUGGGAUUUUAGUUCAAUUUCAAAAACUUGUGUUGGAAAUUUUUAGACUUGGUCAUGGCGCUCCUGGGAGACAGGGAAUGAGAUGGGGUUUGGACCUUUUUUUUUUUUUUUUUUUCCUAAGAGAAUACAUCUUAUUUUAUAUGCUUUAGGAUGCACCAUUUACUAUUAAUCUUUUUCUCAAACCAACCAUUGAAUCUACUGGGUUUUAGAGAUCCAAUCGUUGC